UGGGGAAUAUUGCACAAUGGGCGCAAGCCUGAUGCAGCCAUGCCGCGUGUAUGAAGAAGGCCUUCGGGUUGUAAAGUACUUUCAGCGGGGAGGAAGGUGUUGAGGUUAAUAACCUCAGCAAUUGACGUUACCCGCAGAAGAAGCACCGGCUAACUCCGUGCCAGCAGCCGCGGUAAUACGGAGGGUGCAAGCGUUAAUCGGAAUUACUGGGCGUAAAGCGCACGCAGGCGGUCUGUCAAGUCGGAUGUGAAAUCCCCGGGCUCAACCUGGGAACUGCAUUCGAAACUGGCAGGCUAGAGUCUUGUAGAGGGGGGUAGAAUUCCAGGUGUAGCGGUGAAAUGCGUAGAGAUCUGGAGGAAUACCGGUGGCGAAGGCGGCCCCCUGGACAAAGACUGGCGCUCAGGUGCGAAAGCGUGGGGAGCAAACA
rnacentral:rRNA from 1 species